GAGUCGAGCCGCCAAAACACUUGAAAAAGAAGAGUCCAUGAAGCCAGCCAAUUAGCUUCACACGCCACUCCCGUUAGAAGCGGAGUCGUAGGUAUCUCUAGGUUAUAAUAGAUUUCCUAUGUGGACCAUCCAACACAAGACCCAAGCAACUUUGUGUUGUAUGGCAGGGAAUGAUGGUGACCAAGGAGGCUAUUCUUGAUAGUAACUAUAGCCCACGAUCACACUGCCCAUCAAAGAGUCUACUCAUGAAUCCUUGCUGCCCGGUGCCCCACAAGGCCUGAUACAACCGAACACGGUGCACCUUAACCUUUGUCACCUUUGAAGACUUCCGGCUCCUAGUAGCAGAGCUGAGGUGGGGCUCUGCUCAGUCCAGUCAGGUUACGUCAGGUGUCUUUCGGGAAGGAAAGCCUAAAAGGAGGAUGUUAAAAAGAAAACUCAGGAGUGAGUCUUGAGAAGUGUUCCUGAUGACUACAGAGUAUGCUCUAGAUGAGAGGAAGGAGUGGACCCAGUCUUAAGGUGUGCCAAAGGGUCCUAAGCUUUGAAGUCUGGAAAGGAAGUCAUUAUGUGAGGCAGCUCCCCCUUUGUCCAUGAAGGCUAAUAUUUUUAAGUGAACAUUAUGAAAGCCCUCCUGAAGGUGAUGCUCUAAUUGUAAAAAAGCUCAAGUAUACUUGAAUGUGUUUAGAAGCCAGACAUUUUCGAAGGAAGUUGAUGUUUGAGUUAUUACUAACAAGAAAACUUUCCCAGCACAAGGUGCUCAAAGAGUUUGGUGAUGCAGGAGAAUAGUCUUACAAGGCAGAAUGAUUUGCUGGCACCAGGCCUCCAGGUGGAAAUAAGUCUGUAAAACUGAUGUCUCUAUUAAAAUUAAGCAACCAAAAAAUUGG